UAUCGGAAGUGCGGCUGGAUCACUCCUUUUGAGUAUGGUGAAUAUAAUUGUCUUAUCAGGCGUCCUCACAAGUUACUUGCAUUCAGGGUUUGAUGUUGGCAUAGGUUUGGGUUUAUGUUGGCGAUUUUUGUUCUGGGGGCCUUAGCUCAGCUGGUAGAGCACCUGCUUUGCAAGCAGGGGGUCGUCGGUUCGAUCCCGACAGGCUCCACCAUGAAAGUAUUUAUGGGUCUGUAGCUCAGGUGGUUAGAGCGCACCCCUGAUAAGGGUGAGGUCGGUGGUUCGAGUCCUCCCAGACCCACCAAUGUUAUAUCAAUUAUUCUGAAUGUGGUUUGCGCAUUUUUUAUGCUUAUUAGCCUUGGAGCUGUGAAGCGUUCUUUUAUAAUUUGAUGAUGUAGCAAGCGUUUGAACUUUUUAUUAAUAAUUUCUCAUUGGAAGCCUUAAGUGACAAUGUUUAUCCAUUGUCUUGUAGAUUUUGAGGCGACUUUGGGUUAUAUGUCAAGCGAAUAACCC
rnacentral:misc_RNA from 1 species